AUUGAACGCUGGCGGAAUGCUUUACACAUGCAAGUCGAACGAUGAAGUCUAGCUUGCUAGACGGAUUAGUGGCGAACGGGUGAGUAAUAUAUCGGAACGUAUCCAUUAAUGGGGGAUAACUAGUCGAAAGAUUGGCUAAUACCGCAUACGUCCUACGGGAGAAAGCUGGGGAUCGUAAGACCUGGCGUUAAUGGAGCGGCCGAUAUCUGAUUAGCUAGUUGGUGAGGUAAAGGCUCAACAAGGCGACGAUCAGUAGCUGGUCUGAGAGGACGACCAGCCACACUGGAACUGAGACACGGUCCAGAAUCCUACGGGAGGCAGCAGUGGGGAAUUUUGGACAAUGGGCGAAAGCCUGAUCCAGCCAUUCCGCGUGAGUGAAGAAGGCCUUCGGGUUGUAAAGCUCUUUCGCAAGGGAAGAAAACUUAUCCUCUAACAUAGGGUGAGGUUGACGGUACCUUGAUAAGAAGCACCGGCUAACUACGUGCCAGCAGCCGCCGUAA
rnacentral:rRNA from 1 species